GAUGAACGCUGGCGGCGUGCCUAAUACAUGCAAGUCGAGCGAACAGACGAGGAGCUUGCUCCUCUGACGUUAGCGGCGGACGGGUGAGUAACACGUGGAUAACCUACCUAUAAGACUGGGAUAACUUCGGGAAACCGGAGCUAAUACCGGAUAAUAUAUUGAACCGCAUGGUUCAAUAGUGAAAGACGGUUUUGCUGUCACUUAUAGAUGGAUCCGCGCCGCAUUAGCUAGUUGGUAAGGUAACGGCUUACCAAGGCAACGAUGCGUAGCCGACCUGAGAGGGUGAUCGGCCACACUGAAACUGAGACACGGUCCAGACUCCUACGGGAGGCAGCAGUAGGGAAUCUUCCGCAAUGGGCGAAAGCCUGACGGAGCAACGCCGCGUGAGUGAUGAAGGUCUUCGGAUCGUAAAACUCUGUUAUUAGGGAAGAACAAAUGUGUAAGUAACUAUGCACGUCUGGACGGUACCUAAUCAGAAAGCCACGGCUAACUACGU
rnacentral:rRNA from 1 species